CGUCAAGAUGGAACUGAAAGAUAACAAACAGUAUUUUUGUAUUAGAAUUUUCUUCUGUCUAGAUUCUCUUAGCUGAGAUGUCAGCUUAAGUUGAAAAUAACUAUGUACAUAUGAUUUAAUUUUACAGAUGGCUACGUCCAAAGAAGCUGCAUAGCGCCUGAAGAUGAAGAAAUAUAUGAUGAUAUUGCAGAUGACUGCUUAUAUGACAAUGAUUAGCUCCAGGCCUCAUCUCGGCACAAUCUUCACCUUCUCUGAUUGGUGGAUGCAAGAGAGAAAGUCAUUACUCACAUUCAGGAUUUAUGUGUAUGUACAAAAGACUUGGUUAAGCUAUUCCACCAGUUUCUGGACUGUGAAGCAGGUUUUAUCACAGAAGUAUGAUAACAUUACACAAAUAUGCUCUUGAUUGCAACCAUCAGCUAAAUCUUCAGAUCAGGACAUUGUUAUAUCAUUGGGGGAAAACAUGCCAGGUUUCUUUUGCAAAUCCCACCAACACAAUCCAGAAUAUUCUCUUUACAAUGCUAGAGAUAAUAUCAGCAACCUUUAUUUGCCCCUUCUCGUAUUCAUAUAAUGGGCUGUGGAAAUGUCCCAGCGUGCCCACAGACAUGGUCCCUCUACUUCAUCUGUUCUACGUUAUUUUUAUCUACCUUUCAGUACACAAAAUCAUAGAGUUGGAAGCAGUCAUCUAGUCCAACUUGCGACUGAACUCACUAUGAAGUCUGUCCUAAUAUUCAGGCAGAAUCUGCCUUCCUAUGACUCAAAAAUGGACAGCCAAUAUCCUGCAGUUACACCUCUGAAAUUCAGUGGGGAAAUGGUUGAAUUUCAGCAGCAAGGUUUCAACUUGUUUUUCACAUUUGGGAUGGUUUUAAGAGUGUAAAUGAAAGGGGGUUAUCUCCAGGAGGUCUCUUCUUCCCAUCUCCACCUUUAAAACCCACCAAAAAGCUGAAGAAUGAGCCAUGCCUACUGUGGAUCUUUGGAAAAUUGAGGUGUGGCCAUUCAUUCUUCAAACAUUGUUCAUCUCUGUCUGUAAGUUAAGGUUAUUACUCCAUUGUUCACUGGGAUGGUAGAGAACAGAACGUGACUUUCUUCAGCUCAACAUCCCUUCCAGUAUUUGAAGUAGUAUCAUUUCCCCCCAGUUCUCUCACAGUCUCUCAGAACUACAAAAUCCCUUCAAAAUGCUUGUUGUCCUUUUGUACCUAUCUGGGUUUCUCUGAAUCUUUCUUAAAAAGUGGUUCUCAGAACUGGACAGAAUGCACAAAGUUUGGUCUGACCAAUGCAGAAUAUAAUGAAACAGUUCCUGCCUUUUGGACAGUCUACUUCUAUAUAUGUGGCCUAACAUUACAUUUUUCUUAGCAGAUUCCAAGAUUAUUUUUAUACAUACUCAUAGAAAACCAAUUAUUCCCCAUUCUAUACUUAUGCACUUGAUUUUUUUUCCCAAGUAAAGAGUUUUGUACUUAUCUCAAUUAAAUGUCAUUCUUUUUUCUUUCAAUUUACAUCCUGCCCUGAAUUAUAAAACAGGAUGCAUUAAUUAGCAAUUUUGUUUGCAAACAGCAGAUAACAUGUUACCUCACCAAGGAACUGAUAGUAUAAUAGCUUUAGUUAUAGAUAUCUGGUAUAAGCUAGGACUAUACAUGUUGUACUGUCAUUGUACAAAUGUCAGUAAUUGUGUAUUAUGCGUCAUUUACAUUGUAUAACUGAGGCAAGUGACAUCAUUUAUGUCACUUGUCUUGUGUAAUGUCAUUUCUUGUGCUGUCAUUUGUGAUAUGAUGUGACCUCACUUGCCCUCCAUGGAUGCCUAUGGCUUCACUUCAAAUGCAGUCAUCAUAGUGAUCCUGAGAAAAGAUGUAGCUCCUUUAAUGAGCUUUUGGCCAGUCUUGCAUUCUUGUUCCUGUGUACACUCCCAAAGAACUUUUUGGAACGGAAACUUCAUCAUUGCACACAUAUACAUACAUGGGUAGAUUACUAAUU